GAUGAACGCUGGCGGCGGGCUUAACACAUGCAAGUCGAACGGUGAAGCCGUAGCUUGCUCUUCUUGAGCAUUGGCGAACGCGUGCGGAACACGUGAGCAAUCUGCUCCUGACUCUGGGAUAAGCGCUCGAAACGGCGCCUAAGACUGUAUACGAUCUGCCAUAGCAUCUUCAGCAGCUGGAAAUAAUUUCUGGCAGGGAUGAGCUCGCGGCCUAUCAGCUUGUUAGUUAGGUAAUUGCUCACCAAGGCGGAGACGGGUACCCGGCAUGUGAGGGUGACCGGCGACAAUGGGACUGAGACACGGACCAGAGUCGAACGGGGGGCAGCAGUGGGGAAUAUUGCACAAUGGGAGAAAGCCUGAUGAAGAAACGCCGCGUGAGGAAAGACGGUCUUCGGGUUGUAAACCUCUUUUAGCAGGGAAGCAGCGAAAGUGACGGUACCUGAAGAAAAAGCGCCGGCUAACUACGUG
rnacentral:rRNA from 1 species